rnacentral:tRNA from 2 species
GCCGGGGUGCCCGAGCGGACCAAGGGGCUGGCCUUGAGAGCCAGUACGGGUUUCCCGUGCGCGGGUUCGAAUCCCGCCCCCGGCG